AGCAGACAUGGUCGUGUGGGACCUCUAUCUUUCUUCUACGACAAUCAUCGCCUUAUUUUUUAUUACUUAUAGUGGCGGCCCACGUCAGUUUUCUAUCUAAUCGUCGUUUAAUCUCAAAGGUAUUUUACGAAAGUGUUUUAGGGUUCACUAAUACAGCUUAUGGUGGAUUCCAUAUCUUCUUCUUCCUCCUCCUUUAAUUUAAAAAUAAAUUAUAUUUUUUAUUCAGUAAUAAAAAAUAUUUCGAAAUAGUUUGUGCAUUAGUCGAGACUAAACAAAAAAACAUAUCUAGCAUUAUUUUAUUUAAUUGAAACGUUAAGCUUUGGAUUUUUAAAGGACACAGCCAAAUUAGAAUUUAAGCACCACGGCAUUAAUUAGAGAAAUAAUAAUUAUGUUGAGAAACUUGGAAGACAUGGAUUUUAUUUUUAUAAUAAUUCGAAAAAUAAUUAAUCACCGUUAUUUUUAAAAACAUGAAGGUUUAAUUAUCUGGGAGGCAGCAAUACAUACCUCUUUCCAGCACUUCUUUCACAGUUAUUACAAUAUUCCAUGCAAUCAAAAACUUGAAUACCAUGCUAUUAAAGUUUAUAUGAUUAUUAAUUUUAGAAUUUGUAGAAAUAAUUAAAAUACAUAAAAGUUAAUUGGAUACUAAUAUUUAUAAUAAUAAAAAACUUAUUUAGAAAAGAAAACAUAAACAAAAAGAAAAAGGUGAAAAUAGCUUUUUUUUUUUUUUGAUUUCAGAUUAGAAUAGCCGCCUUGUUUUACAGGUGGAUUGACUAGAAUAAUUAACGCAGGCAAUGAAUUAUUGAGAGCCUUUUGGACUUGGUGCACACUGCCUCAUUUAUGAACAUUACAAGUAUUUUAAAAUUGGAAAAUAUGGUAAUGAUUUGAAAUUCAAAAUCUUGAUGGAAAAUCUAACCUGUAGGUUUUAAAUUAACUUAGUUUUAAUAAAAUAAAGUUAAAUUUAAAAGAAAAAACAGGACCAGAAAAAAGUUUGAGCAUGCACACCAUGUCAUUAUUCAAUUAAUAAAUAAGUUAUGGAAAGAACACAUGAACCAUAUUAAAAAACCAUAACUCUUAAUCAAAUGAACCAUGUUUUUACUGAAAUGAUUGAUGGAGUUUGUAAUUAACUAAUAGUCUCGGCAUGCUAUGAAACUAACCAUAAAUCAUGCUCGGUUUUUUUAGCUAAAGUUAAUACAUGCAAGAAAACCACUUACAGAAAGGCUGGGGAGUCGCUGAAUUUGGCUUCGAGAGGAGCUCUAAAAGGAAAAACAGGCACAGGAACAACCUCCGUUUGCUUGGCAGUGACCAUGACCACGACAGCAGUCACUGAGGCUGCAAACAACAAGACCCUGAGAGCAACAUGAACAGAAGAAUAGUUGGAACGGCGAGGAGGGGCCGCAAGUGCCUCCUCGGACUUGAUGGAUUCACGGUGAUCAGGCUUAUCAGUGGAUGCCAUGAGGGUUUGGUUAUACGGUGGCCGGCUAGCUAUUAUGGUUUGUUCAAUAUGCAGCAAGCGAUAUGUUCAAGAGUGGUCGAAAGUUGAUAUUGUACCAACAAAGAUGUGUCCUGUAAGCAUUUAUAUAUUUUAUUGUGGUGGCUAAAUAAAAUGGGAAUCCAAUAAAAAUUAAUAAUUGAUUAUUAAAUAAAUAAAAACUGGUUGGUGAUACCGCCGCCACAGGUGAUUUCAAGAAAAUUGAAUUGAAUGGAUAGUUGACAUUGAACGGUAAGCUGCCUAAUGUGAACAAACUUUGGAGCAUAUUUGUUAAUUAAAUCCAUACCAAGACAUGUUGAUUUGAGAAAUUGGUGAUUCAGAAUCUGACUUGUGCCGGUUUCAGGGAGAGCCAAAAGAAAGUAGUGAUUGAAACCCUGAAGUUUAAUCUAAGCGGGCUUCAAGUUGAUGCUGAAAAUAUAUUAAUCCAGUGAAAUCAUGUUCAUACUUGAUGAAGUCAAUAAUAAUAAAAAAUAUUAUUUUAAUUAAUUAGUAGUUUUUUAGAAAUUUGUUGAUGUUGAUAUAGCAUAUGUAUCUGUUUUCACGUGCUGUGUUGUUUUUUAUUUUUGACCCACAAAAAAUUAAGGAAAAAGAAAAAGAAAAUUUAAAAAUACAAAAGGAUACAUAUUUCGAAGCUCAAAAAAUUAUCCAGGUUGAUGAUGAAAAACCAAAAUAACAAGUGAAAAAGUUGAAAUACUAGAAUGUACAAGAUUGAUAAAAUUAGCAACCCAAUUCUGAUUGAAAAAAGACUUAUUUGGUGAGAAUAUUUUUAUUUAGAGUAAUGGUUCAAAUGCACAAAUUAAAAAUCAAAAAUCAAGAUGAAAAUGACAAUAAGCUUCGGAGCUCAUAUUUGAGUCUAGCGAGGGUUAAAUUAACUACAAUUAAAAGUUUUUUUUGUCAAUUAAAGGUGAAUAUUCCAUAAUUAGAAGAAUAUGGACUAAAAUAAAAACUGUUAGAUCCCAAAUUAAAAACCCUAAGUUUUAGGGAUUUAACAUAGAUGAUGUGUCAUUCAACCUCUGUUUAUCUUUUUCCUUGGUAAUUUUAGAUGAUUAGGUUGGUAUAUUUUAAGAGCUCGCUGAGGAGUUCUAAACAACCAAAUUUGUUUUAGUCUGAUAAAGUGUUAAAGUGUUAAAUUUGUUUGAAAUUUGCUAUGGGUUGCAUUUUAUGUUGUUGGGUUCAGGUUUGAAUAUUCUUUCAUGUUAUUUAUUUUGUUCGUGUUUGAUCUAUUUUAUAUACUAAAUUUUCUUUGUGGUUGCCAAAACAACUUCUGUAAAUAUUGCUCUCAUUUGCUAAGCAAGUUGCUAGAAGUCAGAGUUGAAGAAGAUGGUGGAAUGCGUGUAACUUUUCCUCUUGAUAUUUCCAUGUUGUCGGUUAUUGAGAACAAGCAACAACAAGAUUCACAGAAAUUGGGAUAGGAAACUAAACAAAGCUUUUAUUCAAGUUUCCACAGACGACGCUACUAAUAAAGUUAGUAAAAACUUCUAUGAAUAUCUGGAUCUUUUUCCUCGCUGGUAUUGACCAGACUUGUAUUUUUAUAGUUAGGGUUACCUGUAAAAUAAAAACUAUAAUUCUUAAAUCAGUUUAAGUUUUUUUUGUUAAGAUGUUUAUCAACAGAGGAUAUAUUUGUUUCUAACUUAUUGGAGUCAUGGUUCAUUUAGGAAACCCUUUUUAUAUUCUUAAGUUUGAGAAUAUCAUUCCUCUCUCUCUCUCUCUCUAUAAUAUAUAUAUAUAUAUGGUAUAAGAGAUAUAAUAAUCUAAGAAAAGGUUCCCAGCUAGGCCACCAACCCCUGAGAAUAGUAAAAGCACUGUCUUCGAAAUUGAAGAAUCCAGAUCACCUGUUCUGACCCAGAUCAGCCACCGAUCGAGACACGUUGCCUUUUCUUAUUCUAUUUGCUUCCUUUUUACGAAAAUGGAGGAGCAUUGCUUCUUUUUAUAAUGGUGAUAAUCAAUUGCCAGCAAUCAACACUAUACGAUCGGAGACUAUAUUGCCAAAGCUUCCUUGUAAAGAAGAUAUCAAGAAGAUAUUUGCCACCUUACCACCUAAUAUAUAUAUAUAUAUAUAUAUGGUCACAAGACAAGUUGGAGCAAUCAUCUUGAGAAUUAUUAUUAUUAUUAUAUAUUAUGGAGGGGAGGGGGGGCGAAGUUUGGCUGUAAAGAAACCUCCUGUUGUUUUUCUUUUUGUUGAAAUGCCAAUUAAUCACAGGAUUUCCACAAUCUCAUUGCCUUCGAAUUCCAAAUCUCUUCCUUCAAUUUAUAUUCAUUCUUGAUUGUUUUUUGGAUUCGAAUCUUAAAAUCAAACUUCUUUCGGAAAAAAAUAUUAUUUUCCUUGAAUACACUAAGUUAAUACGAAGAGUAUAAUAUUCGAAUAAUUAUCCAUUAAAAAAACAUUUAGUCUUAGUUGAAGAAGUGUAGAAGCUUAUAAAAAAUACCCAUAACUGUAAGGGGGAAAAGAGGAUAUGUAAAUUGUUUUGAAUAUUUUUAUCCAAUCUUUACUUGCGAGCACAAAAAGCAAUCGUUGUGUUUUAAUCCUUCUUGUUUGUUGCUAUACCAAAAUGGAUUUUCUUUAAUGGGUUGUGUUUCAAUAGGUAAUAUAAAAUUUUUAUUUUAUAAAAAUUAAAAUAAUUUGUUUUUCAUUCACUGAAAUUUGCUUUUCAUUUAUUUUACAUAUACAAAUUUAUUUCAUAAUAUUUUUAAUCAAAUAUAUAUUUUUAAAACCUAUUUUUUAAAACCAUAAAUAAAAAUAUCUUUUAAAACUAUAAUUGUAGAAAUUAUCACAGUACUAAACAAACAAACAGAUAUACAAUCAUGCUUGAAAAUACCAUAAAAGAAUAUGCUCUUCUAAUCACUUCUCUACCAAACUCAGAAGAUCAAGAUAAAAACUUCAACAAACCAGUUAGCUACUUGUUGAUGAUAACCCCAUCGUUCCUAACUGAGCUUUAAUGAAUGUUUUAAUCCAAAUUAUAGCAUUAAUAGUAACUUGUGUAGAUCACCUAUCUAUUGACUGUGAAACAUAGCAUAUCCUUUAAUUCAACCUUCAUCCCAAAUUAAUUGAUUUUUUUAAUAAUUUAUAGCAAUUUGAUUUCGUGAUCAACAACAGUGAUGUAACAUAAAACUUAAAUCUUGACUUUUGUAAAGAAAUAUGAAAAAAUAAGAAAGAUUUUGGAAAUUUCCUACAUUCAAAUUAGGGUAGAAAGGCUUUCACACGACCAUGUUUUGAUGGAUGCAUGCAUGGUUGACAUUAAAGAAUCUCAUUAUUUUGUUAUUAUUCAGAAUAAUUCUGUCUUUUAUACAAGAAUAUCUGAAUAUGUGAUGGAAAUAAAAUUUGGAGAGACUUUUUAGUUUUUUUUAAUUAAAAUAGCACAACAAGUUAAAAAUAUUGAUGGAAUGGAAUAAUUUAAAAAAUAAUUAGUCAAAUAAUACAGAGUCGAGCUAUCACAAUUCUGAUUUGCAGUACCUUAUCCUUUCAUGUUAUGAAAUCAUGACGUGUCACAAAAUUUAAUCCUAACAUCGCUGUUAUUAAUAUCGUGUUUUGUAAGAAAUUCAUCAUUGAAAAACACGACAUUUACUUAUAUUUUAUAUUUCUUUUUUUGAAACCAUGGAAAGCGUAAGCUGUGAUAUAUUACUAAAAUAUUAAAUUUUCUACGCUAACGGCCGGAAAUAGCGGACGUUUUAUAUGGGAGCUGGUUCAGACAACUGUCGUUGGAUGUUGAUAUCCUCCGUUCGUCCAGGCAAGACGUUCGCGGCGGGCUGCUUGUAUCUUUUUAAGGCAAAUGGCAAAUGGCAAAUGGCAAAUCUCUCCCCGUAGCAAAAACAAAGAUAAUUUCUUCAAAUUAUUUAAGGAAAUUGAGAGUUAUAGGGAGAAAUAAGUUGCAAAAAAGGAUGUUACACAUGGACAAUAAAAUAAGUUUAAUUCGUUGAUUGCCUUCAAAGUUAUUUAUCUUUGUCCAUGUGGUAUAAUUUCAAAAUAAUAAUGUCGUAAUUUAUACAGUAGAGUCAUUUUAGUCAUUUAUAUCAAGAAUUGAUGUCAUAAUUUAAAUGUUUUGCUCUAUACCUUAGCAGUUUUGAAAUUCGUGUAAUUUAUAAUUUAGUCAUUACUUUCCAUUUCAUCUAAUUUUUUAUUAAGGAGUUAAACUUUCUAUAAUCAUCUUACUUUAUUAUUUAUUCAAGAACAGCAUGGUAGCGAAUUUAGGAUGAACAUUGGUAUAAAGAUUAAUUUUAUCGUUUGUAAUUGUAUUGAUGUGAUAAAUCAAGAGAUUGAUAUUGCUAAUAUAAUGAUUAUUGAAAAUUUAUAUUGUCGUUAACUUCAAGAUUUAUAGAAUUAGUUGAGAUACGUGUAAGUUGGGUUCGACAUCUAAAUUAAUAAAAAAACAAUUAUAAUUGAUUUUUUUAUAUAACAAACCAACUGUAUCCAAAAACUUAUGGGAAGGGAAAGAUGGAAUUAGAAAGCGAAAGACUUUUAUAACAAGAUUAAGGAAUAAAAUAUUUUCUUGAACAUUGAUAGUAGUUUAUUUUUAUAUUUUUUAAAUAAAAAGUUGUCAAUUUGCCUCAUGGUUUAACAGCAAGCGUGACCAAGUUUAUAUAUGACAUUAAAUGUUUCCGUGAUUAUCUAAUAUUUAAAUUUAUGUCUUUUUAAUUAAAUUUUGUUAUAAUUAUCUAAUUUUUAAAUAUUUAAGUAUGUAUUUCUCAUUAAAUGUUGCCAUAAUUAUCUCAUAUUUAAAUAUUUUUUUUGACUUUUUCAUUAAAUGAUGAUUAGUGAAAUGUGAGAUUAGUGUGUGGCUGUGAUGUGGCGGGGUUGAAUAAAUCCUUUAAAUAGAUGCGCUAUGCCCAGUUAACAAAAUAUUAAAGGUUUUAAUCUUGAGGGGUGUAGCUCAAUUGGUUAGGCCCUAGGUUUGCUUUCUAGAGAUCAACAGUUCAAGUCUCACAAACCUUAAAGUCACUUGAGGCUUAUAUCUAUUAACUUCAACGCUUGUGAAAUUAGUUGAGGUGCGCGCAAGCUGGUCCAAACAUCCAUGUUAAUAAAAAAAAAAAUUAAAGGUGUUGACAAAUCAUUGGAGUCCACGCCACUACACGACCAUUUACACACAUGCAAUUCAUUAUAUAAUUAUUUAUUUUACUUGAUUAAAUCAUUUUAUGACAAAAGUAAUGAUCAACUCAUGUAAAAUUUCUAAGAAAAGGUAAUUUGAAAGUAUGAUGAUAAAAGUGAAUAAAAAAGAGAACAUAAGUGGUUGUAAACUUGAAGGAAACAGUGAAGUAGAAAAUGUAUUUUUCUCUCUUGAAUGUUACAGAUACAAGGUUACUCUUUAUAGAAUUAGGGUACAUCAUAAUAAUCUUAACAGAAAAUCUUAUCAACAUUUAAAAUUCAGUAGAAGACAUGGGGUAGAUCAGAUCAAUUGGUCUUCCUAAUCUUCCUCUAGAUUUUUCUCUUGUUGAUAGCUACAGUUGCUUGAUUUGCUGAGCAGUUCCAUAUUUUCCUCUACACGCCCCCUCAAUCUGAAGGGAAGAGCUCAAACAUUCAGAUUGGCCAAAUUAUUUUGAAACUUGCAUGGAGACAUUGGUUUUGUCAGUGAAUCAACAAGUUGAUCUUUAAUAGAAAUGAACUGAACCGUAAGUUGCUUUCUUUGAACUUGAUCACGCACAUAAUGAAAAUCAAUUUCGAUGUGCUUAAUAUGAGCAUGAAACAUAGGAUUAGCAGUCAAGUAUGUGGCUCUAAUAUUAUCACACCAUAACACUGGGGGGUUUGGAAUUUUGAAGCCAAUUUUAGAUAAAAUUGAUUGCAACCAUUGGAGUUUCGAGGCAAUGUCUGCAAGAUACAUAUAUUUAGCUUCUGUGCUACUACGAGCAACUAUAAAUUGUUGCUUGUAACGCCACAAGAUAAGAUUGUUACGUAUGAAAACACAAUAAACACUUAUUGACCGUCAAUCAUCACGAUCACUUGCCCAAUCAAAAUUUGAAAAAGCUUGAAUUGUAGAGUUAGGAGUCUGACCAAGAAAUAGUCCCAUUAAUAUGGUAUGUUUAAGAUAACGUAGUAUUCGUUUUACUGCUUGCUAAUGUGGCUCCAACAGGUUAUGCAUGAACUUGCUUACUUUAUGAAUUGAGAAUGAAAUAUCAUGUCGAGUAAAUGCCAAAUAUUGUAAGCUGCCAACAACCUGUCUAUAGAGAGAAGGAUCUGAAAACUUAGAUUCUUCGGUUGCAGAUAGGUGACAUGUAGUUGGCAUAGGACUUGUACAUGGUUUUGCUUCUGCCAUGUGAGUGCGGUUUAGAAGUUCAGCCAUAUACUUUCUAUAAGUGAGAUGCAUACCAUCAGUUGAGCGCAAGACCUCUACCCCCCAAAAAUAGCUAAGAUCACCAAGCUCUUUAACAACAAAAUCUAAAUAUAAGUCUUGAAGCACAUGUUGGAUGGCAGUACUAGAAUUGCUUGUGAUGAUAAUAUCAUCAACAUAAAUAAAAAUCACAACCAAAACAUCAUUUUUGUGCCAAAUAAACAAAGAAGGGUUUGCUUUGCUAGCAUGGAAUCCAAUCGCCCGUAGUUUAUCUAUUAGAUGAGAGAACCAAGCUCUUAGAGCUUGUUUCAAGCCGUAGAUUGACUUAUGUAGUCUGCAAAGAUGAUUAGAAUAUUGGGGAUGGAUAUAGCCUUGAGGUUGGGCUAUAUAAACUUUCUCUUCCAAUUCACUGUGUAGAAAUGCAUUUUGGAUAUCAAUUUGUUUAAUAUGCCAGUUAUAAGAAACAACCAAGGACAAGACUAUUCAAAUUGUAGCAUGCUUGACAAUAAGACUGAAUGUCUCAUUAAAAUAAUUUUCUUCUUGUUGAUGAAAGCCCUUGGCAACUAACCUGCCCUUAAACCUCUCUAUGGAACCAUCAUCAUUUUUUUUUAAUUUCGUAUAUCUAGCGGCAACCAAAGAUAUUGGCUUUAGGAAGAGGAGAAACUAAUGACCAAGUCUCAUUGCGUAGAAGAGCAUCAAACUCUGCAUUCAUUGUUGUUCGUAAUUGUGGUGACUUGACUGCAUCAUUAUAACAUAUUGGUUCUACAUCAGAAGAGUGAAGAGAGGUAAGUAAUGCUUUAGGUAAAUGAUACCAUAUAAAAGCAUCAGAGUUAGCUUUUGGUUUAAAAAUAUUGUUUCUUGAUCUGGUAAUCAUGGCAUAGGUGCUGGUAUUGCCUUGCAUUACUAUAGGAUUUAAGAUGGGUUGAAGAGGUGUCUCUAAUAAACUGAAGGAGAUGUGCUGGUUAGCAACAAGUAUGUCUGGCGAGGAGAUAAAAGUAGUAUACCUAACAGGUGGUCCUUCGUUUGUUCAUGCAGAUAGAAUCAGUAGUUGCAGAUGGUAUACUUUGAGUUUGCAUAUCAUUAAAUCUGGCAGGUAGUGGUGCUGGAAGAUGGAAAGGCAAGGUAACAUGUGUGGAUGAGCUGGAUUUUGAGGACAGUAUAGAGGAAACAUUUUUCUGGUAAGGGAACAUAUUUUCAUCAAAUAUUACAUGACGAGACACAUAAACGCUAUCAGUUGAUAAAUCAAGGCACUUGUAUCCAUGAUGAUUAACACUAUAACCUAUGAAAAUACAGGAAUUGCUUCUGAAAUCCAAUUUAUGUUUAUUAUAGGGUUUAAGAUUAGGCCAACAUGCACAUCCGAAGACACGUAAGAAAAAAAAAUCUGGGAUCCGGUUAUAAAGCAUUUCAUAAGGUGACAAAUUAUUGAGGAUGGGUGUUGGGAGGCGAUUAAUUAAAAACGUUGCAAUUGUAAAGGCAUCUUCCUAAUAAAGAAGAGGUAAAUUUGAGUGUGCUAAUAAACUAAGGCCUACUUCAACAAUUUGUCUAUGUCUUCGUUUAAUUGAACCAAUUUGUUGGUGAGUAUGAGGGCAUCCAAUACGAUGAGCUAUGCCAUUGGUUGAAAAUAAUUAUGAAGUCUACGAUAUUCACCACCCCAAGCUAAUUGUACGACCUUUAUUUUACUACUACAUUGGUUUUCCACAUAACAUUGAAAUUGAAGAAAACACACUCAACAUCAUAUUUGAAUUUAUUGGGAACUAAAUAUAAGAAUUUAGAAUAAUUAUCUAGAAAACUAACAUAGUAUCGAGCACCGGUAGUUGAGGCUACAGAUGCUGGACCUCAAACAUCGGUAAAAAUUAAGUCUAAUGGAGAUUUUGAAACAUAAGUUGAAUUAGUAAAAGGCAAAGCAUGACUCUUUGCUAAUUGGCAAUCCGGACACACAUAGUGCCCUUUUAUUUUAUCAACUAGCAGUUUAUUUGAGGAAAAAACACGUUGAACAACUUGAGAAGCAGCAUGACCAAGGCGACGGUGCCACUAAUCAAAUGAAAUGCGAACACUUGAAAAGGCUUGAGGAGGAACAUUUUUGGUUGAGAAAUGGUACAACCCAUUACUGAUAUGGCCUCGAUAAAGGACGGUCCCCGAGUAAUCCUUCACAAGAAAAUAUUGAUCAUGAAACUCAAAAUGAACAUUAUUGUCAGUACAUAAUUUUUGGACAGAAAGUAAGUUUUUCUGAAUUUAAAGGACUAAAAAAACUUGAUUCAAUACAAAGGAAUGAGAGGAUGUAUGAAUAGAGGAAUUGCCAGUUUUAAAGAUAUAGAAACCUUGACCAUUGCCAACUUAAAGUUGAUAUGUACUGGUAUAGUCAUCACUCAUUGUCCCAGCCACCAUUGUUUGCUGUAAUAAAAGCCUGUUUAUUUGGAGGAGAAAAAGAAUGUUGAUAGGUGAGAUCAAAACGAUGGUAGCAAUUGCGAGCAAAAUGGCCAUGUUUUCCACAUACUUGACACACAAUAGUAGAAGAAUUAUAUGUGUCUCUUCUAUUGUAGGAGAAAGCACCCCCUCCAAGAUAGUUGUUAUGACGACCUCUACCCCGAGAACCACCUAUACUCCUAUUGUUGGAUGAUGGCAGUUGUUUUUGGGUAAUAUGUGUUUCAGCAAGGGGUGUAGGAGUAGAUAGAUGAUGAUGAGUUAGACGAGAUUCUGUAACAAUUAUAAGAGAGUAUACCUCUUCAAGUAUGAUUGGAUCAUUACAAGCAUAGAUAGAGGACACAAAGCUAUCAUAUUCAUGUCCUAACCCAGCAAGAACAUAAGAAAUGAUGUCAUCACAUUUGAGAGGUUGGCCAGCCAUAGCAAGUUCAUCAGCUAAUCUUUUGAUCAAUAUGAAAUAAUCAUUGGCAAAUUGACUGCUUUUCUUUGCAUUGGCAAGUUGAGUUCGAACUUGGAUGGUACGAGCUUGAGAUUAUGAGGAGAAGUUUGUUUCAAGUGCUCGCUAAACCUAAUGAGAGGUGGCAUAAGAGAUUAUUUGAGCUAAAACACCCUCAAUCAUGGAAGUCAUGAGAGUGCUAAGGAUUAGAUUGUCCUGUCACAACCAUUGAAAAUACACAUGAUUUGAAAUUUGGGUGAGUGCACCUGUAUCAAGAUACAAACUAUCAAUCAUUUGGGGAGGAAGAAUGAGUGUACCAUCAAGGUAGCCAUACAGGUCUUGUCCACGAAAAUAGUGCAGUAAUUAUAUCUUCCAAAGAGGAUAAUUAUCAGGAGCCAACUUGAGUGAAACAAUAUUAGAGAUUGAAAUUAUUGUGGGGAUCAAAGAGGAGGAGUUAAAGAUUGUAGUGGACGAGGAAGGAAAGGAAGACAUGAUGAGACGCUAGUCUUUUUGUAGCUUUGAUACCAUGUAAACUUGAAGAAAAUAGUGAAGUAGAAAAUGUAUUUUUUCUCUCUUGAAUGUUACAGAUACAAGGUUACUUUUUAUAAAGUUUGGGUACAACAUAAUAAUCUUAACAUAAAAUCUUAUCAAUAUUUGAAAUUCAACAUAAGACAUGGGGUAGAUCAGAUCAGUUGGUCCUCUUAAUCUUCCUCCAGAUUUUCCUCUUGUUGAUAGCUACAGUUGCUUGAUUUGUUGAGUAGUUCCACAUUUUCCUCUACAGUGGCGAUUCAAAAUUAGAUUUAAAAGUUCACUUUGUUCCUCAUACUUUUAAAAGAUAAUAUUUUGGUUUUGAAAUAGGUUUGAGAAUUCAAUUUUGAUAUAAAACUUUAUUUUAUUUAUUUAAAUUUUAAUAAAAAAAUUUAUUUUACUUAUUUUCUAGUUUAAGAGAGGAGAGAGAGUCACCAAAUUUCAACAGUAGAGAGAGAAAAUUAUUGGCAAACCCAAUUUCAACCACUAAAAAAUGUUAAUUUUAGAAUCCACAAGUCUCAUUCGAUGUGUGGAGUUUAACUUGGGUAUUAUUUCACCUUAAAACUGUCUAAGAAGAUAAAUCUCACCGUAGUAACCUUUUGGAUUUCAGGUUGAUUUUCUAUUUUUUUUUAUUGAUUUUUAGGUGGUUUGAAGGUAUAAAAGAGGUUUGUGUGGGUAUUUAUGUUAUUUUAUAAGUGUUUUGGGUCAAAAAACAUUUAAAUAAUUUUAAAGGGUUUAAAAACCCAUGUUCUAGUUUUUUAAUGACUUGUUGGUCACUAGAAACUAGAGAUGUUGACGAUGGAUAAUAUGUUGUAGUAAAUAAUAUGUCAUCUUUGUAGCUUAUAAAAGUUAAAUGGACAAGCACAUACGCUCAUGCCCUUCCUAUUGGGGUAAUUUAUUAGGCCAAAGCUCAUGGGCUUCUUUUUAAAGGGUUUUUCUUUAAUUUAUUUAAAUAAAGUUAAAGAAUUUAUUUUUUUUAAAAUAAAAAAUAAAAACUUUUGUUUAAAUUUUGGUGGGAUGAAUUUUUUUAUCACUCAACUUUAAUAAAAAAGUACAUUUUGAUUUCAUGAAAUUAUCAUAGUCUCAUUAUUUAAGUUGUGAAUUUAGUAGAUUAACUUGAAUUUUUUUUUUUUGUAUUUUUUUAUAAUUGCAUACUUCAAUAAUAAGUUGGUUAUGAACUAGUCUUUGAGUCCGUUUGUUUGCAUGGUUGCUUCUAUGUUUGAAGCAUCCACAACAAAUAUUAUGUUUGGUCACAUCAAAAACACAGUUUAAUUUUGGUGGACCCCAUAAUAAUUAAAGUUUUGAACGUGAAUUUUGCGAAGCAGCUCCUAGCUACUUUUCAAAAUUCAGAGUUUACGUGUACAGUGCAAUUCAAUUGCACUGUGCACGCAAACAAUGCAAUUCAUUUGCACUGUUUGCGUGAACAAUUUUUUUUUUUAGUGUGUUUAUUUUUUGUACAUUUGUUUUUUUAAAAAAAACUAGUUUAAAGUGAAUUAAAUUUACUUGUACUAUCAUGUAAAUAAUAUUUUUUUUUCUAGAAAAAGUAGUGUAGAGUGAAUUAAAUUCACUCGCACUGUAAUAUCAAAUUAAUUUUAUUCAUGAUAAUAUUUUAUCUAAUUAUAGAAGUUGUAGUUCUUGUCGGAUGAAUUUUGUACGUAAUGAAAUUGUAGAUGGUUUAAUGAAAUAAUAAAAAAUAUUUUAUAUAAAGUAUUAUUUAUUUCAUGAAGUAAUAGCAAUAGUUAAAUUUAUAACAUUUAAAUUAAAAACUAUCAAUAUUAAUAUAUAUAUUUUAAAAUUAUUUUAUAACUUUAAUUUCAAAAGCAUUCUUAACCAAACACAUUAAACUACUUUUUGUUCAACCUUAAUUUCAAAAAUAGUUUUAACCAAACAUCUAUUUUUUCAAACCAACCUCAAUUAAAAUUAUUUUUUUCAAACCACAACCACAACGGCUACCGCAAUAUCAAACACACUCUUUGUAUUUUUGUUUGUUUGUUUUUUUACGGGAAAAUCUUGUUCUCUUGACUUUAAUCGCGAGUUUGAUAUUUAUAUUUACUUAAAAUGUUUAUUUGUAUCUGUUUUAAAAAAAAUAUGUUAUCCUUUAAUAUUUGAUUUAUUAAAAUUGACUAAUUUAUUUUAAUUUGUAUUUUAUGGUUUAUCAUAAUCUCAUGACUCGAAUCUUAAAUUGAUCUGAAAAUUAUUUAUCACCGUCUUAAUUUUUUUAAAAAAUAUAUCAUAUGUAUCUCAUAAUCUUAAUAUUUUUAAAGGUGUCAUUCUAUAUACAUUAGAUUUUAAAUUUUCUAAAAUCUUUUAUACUUUAUAGUUAGAAAAAAUAAUUUAACUCACAAAGCUUAACUAAUUACAACAACAUUUAAUGAAAAAGACAUAAAUAAAUAUUUAAAUAUGAGAUAAUUAUGACAUUUGUAUUAUUCAAUAUACCAGAAAUUAUAUUUUAAUUUUUAUAAAAAUAUAAAAAUCACAUCCAACAUGACAAUAGUUCAGAAACCUUAUCUAUCUUUAUACGAUAAAAAAAAAAGAAAAAAAAGAAUACAACACGAAACAUAUCGAAUAAUUCUUUUUUUGUUCAUAUUACACAGCAUCGACAUCAUCUAGUCAUGAUCUUUUGUUUCAAAUUUCAACCUUAAAUUUGAUUCUGGACGUUUCAUCAAAAUUCGGGUUUUUUUUUUUUUUUGUUGGGCUUGUGCUGGUAUGUUGUGCCAGCUAUUUUUUGGACGGGCAGGGCUUUUGUACUUCUACUGUAUGCCAUGGAUUUAACCCACUUGUUGUGGGUUCAUUAAAACCAACAUCUUUCUAUUUAAAUCAAAGUUAUUAAACCCAGCAAAGCUAAUAAUCACAUUUAAAAUUAAAUUACAGGUUAAAUAAAUAAAUUAAAAUAAUAUAAUAUAUUUUUUAAAAAAGUCUCAUUUCUCAAAACACAACCCAUGUUAUGUUUUAAUUUUACCAGCCGAGUCGAGCUAGAUUAAUUAAUGAUUAUUUAAACAUAUAACAAAUUAUUUAUUAAUAAUUAAAAAUGUAUCGUACCGCAAUAAAAAUUAUGUAAUGGUUCUCUCUCUCUCUCUGUUUAAGUUCGUUGAUGCAGUAGCAUAACAGACUAUCUUUUUCCAAACUUUCAUGUGUUUGUUUGUCAUUAGAAAAGUUGGUAAGCGGAAAAUACUUUCUGGUAAACGAAAAAUACUUUCCAGUCAAUUUUAGUCAAUGAAAAAUUUGAUUUGGUUUUCAAGAAAGUGUUUUUUCUUUAGCUGUGUUUGUUUUCCGGAAAGUAGUUUCUGGAAAAUCACUUUCCAAACUUUUUUGUGUUUGUUUGUCAUUAGAAAAGUUGAUCAAUGAAAAACAAUUUAUAGUAAAAGGAAAAUUUAGCUUGGUUUUCAGGAAAGUGUUUUCCUAAAAAAUUUGGUGGAAAACACUUUCUGGAAGUUGUGAAAAAUUUAGAAAUAUCAUUAUUUGCUGAUUAUAUUAAAUUUGAUCCUUAAACUUUUGAUCGCUAUAUAUAUAUUUUGUUUUUAAUAUUUAUUUUUAAUUUCAUCUCUUAAAAUUUUAUUUUUAUAUUAACUUUGGUCCUUAUUUUUAUAAUUGCUAUUUGCUUUUUUCUUAUCAUUUUUUAUUGAAAUUUUUUAUUUAUCAUAUUUGGUCCUCAUUCUUUUGAUUGUUAUUUAUUUUAUUUGAAAUAAUUUAUGAAAUGUUGAUUAUUAUUAUAAUUUCUUUAUCUUUUAUUUUUUUAAUUUUUUAGAUUUGAUCUCUAUUAUUUUGAUUAUUAUUUAUUUUAUUUGAGAUAAUUUAUGAAAUUAUAUAUUUUUUUCAAUUUCAUUCUCAUUCAACUUUUUAAUUUGUAAGAUUUGUUUCUUAUUAUUUUAAUAAACUUGAGAAAAAUAAAAUGUUAAUAAGUUAUUUUCCAGCUUAUUUUCCAUGACAUAACCAAACACUGGAAAGUGUUUUCCAGCUUAUUUUCCAUUACACUACCAAACAUCGGAAAAUACUUUCUCGGAAUUCACUUUUCCAGAACUCACUUUCCCUGUAAUUUACUUUCCAAAAAAAAAAACUAUUUUCCAGCAAAUAAAUAGAGCCUUAGAACUAACCAGCUUUGUCUCUUAGCAUCGCUAAUUAUGUGGAGAGUAUGGUGUAAUUUUUCCAAGGUAAUGGUUGCUGCCUGUACUAGUGACUAAAAGCGAUAAAACAAGCACGGGUUAAAAAGAUAGAAAAAUAAAUAGAAUAAAUAUAGACUCAUAUUAAAUUACAAGUUUAUUUUAGAGGAUAAUUAAUUAGAAACCGAACUAAAUUUCCUUAGACCAAAAAUCCUUAUUAAACUUAUCUUAUAGGAUAUAAGGAUAAGAAUAGGGAUAGGUUACCGGGGGAGUUGGAAUAUAAUAUAAAUAAAUAGGUUUUGAAGUUAAAAUGCAUCCAUGCAUUAUAUGAUUUAUUAUUAAAAAUUAAUAUUAUUUAAUCAAUGAUGAUAAAUUUAUUUCAUAUUAAAAUCCAUUUUCAUAAGACCUAUAGCUGAAGGGGUCGAGAAAAAAAAAAGAGAUUCAUUAUAAAAUCUUGAUAGAAGUCAAAACCCAUAAGAAGAGGGUUUGGAGAGAUGCUAGGCCUAAUUUUUUUAGACUCGGCUAUAUGCUAGGCCUAAACAUCUACAGGUCUAGUAAGAUGUCAAGUCCAACCUUUUAAACUCGGCUAUGCAUCAAGCCCAAGCGUCGUGGGUCUAGCAAGAUACCGAACCUAACUCCCUUGAAAUUGGUUACACGCUAGGUCCAAACGUUUGCGAGUCUGUUAAAAUGUGAGGCUAAAAAAAAGCCUGAAGUUGGGCAUUGUUCUGGAUAAUCUUAGGUCUAAAGACUUUUGAGCCUAACUUUCGCUAGAUUCGCAGGUGCUUGGCUCUGACAUGUAGCCGAUCUUAAAGGAGUUGGGUUCAGUAUCUUGCAAAACCCGCGACACAUGGACCUGGCGUGUAGCCGAGCUCAAGGGAUUUGAGUUUAGCAUCUUGCCAGGCCUAUAGAUGCUUGAGUCUAACAUGUAGCCGAUCUCAAAAAAAUUAAGUAUAGCAUCUUUCAAUACCCUCUUUUCAUAGGUUUUGACUUGUAUCAAACUUUUAUAAUGAGUCUUUUUUUUUUUUUCUAAACCUCUUUAGUCAUCAACCCCUUUAGUCAUGGGUCUUAUAAAAGUGGAUUUUAGUAAGAAAUAAAUCAACCAUCAUUGAUUAAAUAAUUGUUCAUUAUUCAUACACUAAAAAACUAAAGUUUCCUGGCAUGCUGGAUUAUGAGAAUCGUCACUUAAAAUAUAUAAUUUUAUAUUGAAUAUAAACUAAAAAAGAAAGUUAAAGUGAAAAAAAUUAAAAAGAGGACUAAAAAAACACAGAAAUAUUUAAAAGCUAAAUGGUUGAAGGACUUUAAAGUGCUUUGUGGAAGUGAUAAUAGUGUGCAUUGCACGUGACAUCCUUGGUCCACUAAAUAGAAGAAAGAAUUAAAAAAAUAGAAAACAAUCUGAGUUGAAUAAAUUAUCCAGCGACUCUUUUUAGUCGUGAAUAGCAGCACCUCGAGACUUGACGAUUUUAUCCUAAAAGUAUUGAGUGAAAAUCAAAUCUGACUUGAUUUCCUCACCACCAAUUUCAUUUACUGGUUUUAUGCAUUGAAUAAUUUGUUUUGACCUUUUUUGUCUGAAUUGUCUGAAUUUAACAUUAAAUGUCUGAACUGUUUCAAUAUCAAUAUCUUGUCGGCCGAUAGACGCAUCUCCCAACGAUGUGGUAGAACCCUCCUUUCUCAACCAUAAGAUUCAACUGAAAAGCGAUAUUCAUUCCAAAAUGCCAUUGAAAAAAAAAAUUUAAAGAUUAAGACGAUGUUCUUAGAAGAGCAUUGGUGAUUAGAGUGAGAUCAUUUGGCUGCUCGGUAUGCUUGGGAAGCAUAGUUUUGAGCUUGUCCCUUAUGUUUCUAAUAACGCAGUUAGGUCAUCAUUUCUCUUAAUAUAACCUCUCUAGAUUGGGGCCCUACAAUUUGACUUAAUUAUUAUGUUAAUUCCUAAACAAUUUGACGUUGUAAAUGUUGCUAGCUUCAGUAACUUGUUAUAAUUUCAAAGAUGGAUGAAGUUUAUUUGGUUUUACUUGGUUAAAGAUGAUAUACAUGCUAAAAUUAUCAUAAAGUCUCAAUGUUUAUGGUUGUGUAGUUUCCAACAUUGAUGUGAGGUUAUUUGAGAGUGUUUUUUAAAAAUGUUUUUAAAAAAGUUUAAUUUUUUUUUAAAUUAAUAUGUUUUUGAUGUAUUAAUCUUAAAAAUAAAUUUUUAAAAAUAAAAAAUAUUAUUAAUAUAUUUUUCUGAAUUAAAAAUAAUUUAAAAAACAAUAAUAAUCACGUUCUUAAACAAGGGCAAGUUUAAUUCUUUUGAUACUUUAAUGAUUUUGUACUUGACAAAUUAAUCUGGAAAUCAACCUCUUAAUUAGUGGUAGCCAUUAAGGGCCUCAGUGUUACUCCGUACUUUGUGAACAUAGUAAAUAUACUGUUUGUCAUCAUGUGAGUGAGCUGCAUCCUAAACUGACAUGCAUCACUUGGAAGGUCAUCAAUAACAUUAAAAAAAAAAAAACCUAAAAGGAAGGUAAAAUUACAAGGGCCUAGAACACAUUUUACUAUUCACAUGAUAGUAUAAUAACUUUUUUUUUUUAAAAGUUUUUUGACGUAACAUAUUACUUAUUAUAAAUUGAUUGAAGAUAGAUAUAUCUCUUUCUAUUUUUUACACAUUAAAAUUUCUCUUAAAAGUGAAAUAUUUCAGAAAAAAAAUGUUGUACCCAAGGGCUUUUUCCUUUUUUCAUCAUGUUUUUUUUAAUAUUUAAUAUCAAGUUGGUCAAUUAGCCUUUUAAUAAAUAUAAAAUAUUAUAUUGAUAAAAUAAUUAUUAAUACGUGAGAGACAUAUAUUAUUGUGCGGGGAGUGCCUAUAGCCUUCUGGUUGUGUGUGUAACAAGUCUUGAUAGCAUAAACACCCUUUGGUUGGAAUCUUAACGACAUCUUCUUCUUAUUAAGGUGGUGUGCGGCAUAGUUUUAAAACCCGACCUGAUGAUCGACCCGGUCUAAUGACCGGGUCACGGGUCUGAUGGGUUGAUCCGGGUCAACCCAAAAAAAAAAGAGACAUGUGUUAGCUUCGAAAAAAAAAGAGUCAAGUUUGAAAAAC
rnacentral:lncRNA from 1 species